UACGGGGGGAGCAAGCGUUGUUCGGAUUUACUGGGCGUAAAGGGCGCGUAGGCGGUAGCACAAGUCAGUUGUGAAAUCUCCGGGCUUAACUCGGAAAGGUCAACUGAUACUGUGCGACUAGAGUGCAGAAGGGGCAACUGGAAUUCUCGGUGUAGCGGUGAAAUUCGUAGAUAUUGGGAAGAACACCGGUGGCGAAGGCGGCUCACUGGCUCGUUUCUGACGCUCAGGCGCGACAGCGUGGGGAUCAAACAGG
rnacentral:rRNA from 1 species